rnacentral:rRNA from 1 species
AGAUUGAACGCUGGCGGCAUGCCUUACACAUGCAAGUCGAACGGCAGCACGGACUUCGGUCUGGUGGCGAGUGGCGAACGGGUGAGUAAUAUAUCGGAACGUACCCUGGAGUGGGGGAUAACGCAGCGAAAGUUGCGCUAAUACCGCAUACGAUCUACGGAUGAAAGUGGGGGCUCGCAAGACCUCAUGCUCGUGGAGCGGCCGAUAUCUGAUUAGCUAGUUGGUAAGGUAAAAGCCUACCAAGGCAUCGAUCAGUAGCUGUCUGAGAGGACGACCAGCCACACUGGACUGACACACGCCAGACCUCUACGGAG